ACCUACAGCUCAGUUGGCAGCGCAUGAGACUCUUAAUCUCGGGGUUGUGGGUUCGAAUCCUGCAUUGGGUG